UUUUUAGAUAAGCUGAAACUAGAUAUGCGACUAUUUAAGCUUGCAGAUAUACGCGGGUUUUAAAAAUAAUUUGAAAUGGAUGUAUGCGGUCAGUUUUGGAUGACCGACCGUAUCUAUGAAAUUGAAACUUUCCUUCUACCCACGUGCAAAUAUGAUGCACGGUUUGUGGGUAAGAGCAAGUACAAUAGUAUAGCCAACUGUUGGCUAUAAGCCAUUGUCAUGUCAUCUAUAGCCCACCUUAUAGCCAACAUGUACAAUAGUUCAUUGCAAAAGUGUACUAUUUUUAUUAUAUAGCCCACCUUUCAUACUCACAAAAGGCCUAGGAGCACGUGCUAGAGCUGUCUCUUAGCUAACAGCCCGCUUACCUUCUCUCUCCUC
rnacentral:lncRNA from 1 species